GGGGGUAUAGCUCACAUUGAUAAAGCAUUCGACUGCUAAUCGAGAGGUCCCUGGUUCAAACCAAGGUGCCUCCU